GAUGAAGAACGCAGCGAAAUGCGAUAAGUAAUGUGAAUUGCAGAAUUCCGUGAAUCAUCGAAUCUUUGAACGCACAUUGCGCCCUCUGGUAUUCCGGGGGGCAUGCCUGUCCGAGCGUCAUUGCAACCCUCAAGCGCGGCUUGUGUGUUGGGUCUCCGUCCUCCUCCCGGGGGACGGGCCCGAAAGGCAGCGGCGGCACCGCGUCCGGUCCUCGAGCGUAUGGGGCUUCGUCACCCGCUCUUGUAGGCCCGGCCGGCGCUUGCCGACACAUCAAUCUUUUUUCCAGGUUGACCUCGGAUCAGGUAGGGAUACCCGCUGAACUUAAGCAUAUCAAUAAGCGGAGGA
rnacentral:misc_RNA from 1 species